rnacentral:rRNA from 1 species
GACGAACGCUGGCGGCGUGCCUAAUACAUGCAAGUAGAACGCUGAAGAGAGGAGCUUGCUCUUCUUGGAUGAGUUGCGAACGGGUGAGUAACGCGUAGGUAACCUGCCUUUUAGCGGGGGAUAACUAUUGGAAACGAUAGCUAAUACCGCAUAACAAUGGAUGACACAUGUCAUUUAUUUGAAAGGGGCAAUUGUUCCACUACAAGAUGGACCUGCGUUGUAUUAGCUAGUAGGUGAGGUAAUGGCUCACCUAGGCGACGAUACAUAGCCGACCUGAGAGGGUGAUCCGCCACACUGGGACUUAGACUCGGCCCAGACUCCUACGGGAGGCAGCAGUAGGGAAUCUUCGGCAAUAGGGGCAACCCUGACCGAGCAACGCCGCGUGAGGGAAGAAGGUUUUCGGAUCGUAAAGCUCUGUUGUAAGUCAAGAACGGGUGUGAGAGUGGAAAGUUCACACUGUGACGGUAGCUUACCAGAAAGGGACGGCUAACUACGUG